UGUGAGGCCUUUCUGUUUUGGUCACUGCUCUCCCGUUUCCCCGGGCCUCAGUUUACUUUUCUACAAAAUGAGACCCAGCCUUUUUAUUUAUUUAUUUUUAAUACGAAGAACUCUCUUUUCAACAAAAAUUUCUCCCCUCUCCCUUCGGAGAGUAUUAAUAUCCCUGCCAACAAACUUUCCUUGAAUCCACCUUUUCAGGGAACAAUUCCUCUAAAAAGCCUCCUACGUUGGUGUCUCAACUCCCUCUUUUUUUCCUUUAAUAAGCCCCACACAGUUAGACUAAUGACCUUAUCAUCCAGUCCAUCAACCGACACCAACGAGCGUUUUUUAAAAUUGCCCACUAUAUGCCAGGCACUAAGAUGGGUGCUGAUAAUAGAAGAAUGAGGAAUGAAAAAAUGAUACCUACUCGAGAGCGGACAUUCUAACAAGGAAGACAACAAGCACAUAUAUGUGCAUAUAUUUGCACAGAUGUGCACAACAUGCAUAUAUGCACAUACAUAUGUGCUUCUAUAUUUUCAGGAAAUGAAAUCUACAACCUCAAGAGCUUCAAACUCCAGGAGAGCAAGCCACAGGGAGUCUGUGAGUAAGAAUCCAGGCUGACUUUUGCAGCCAGGUCAGCAGCAAUGCCCGUACAAACAAGGAGCAACUUCCAUGAUUUCAGCCCAGCAAAAGUACUCAUCUUGCAAUGCUGCCUCCUUUGAAUGGGAACUUGGUGAGAUCAAUGCUAUGUAGGGACUGAGCUCAGUUUUGAGCCUAAUUUCCAUUUCUUUUCUUGCCCGUUCCCACUCCACUGAAAUGUAGUGGAGAUUAUGACCCAAGAUGUUUGGAGAAAUGUUUUUACAUUUGUUCUUAUUACAUCUUUGAAGAAAAUAUCCCCUUUGUAAAGUAUCUUCAUUUCCUCAAUUCCUUCUUGGCUGUCUGGUUGCUGUUUAUUCUGUAUGAAACUCAUAGUAAAGAGUUUGGUUUCCUUGAGAUGGAGAGAUUAAAGACCACAAGCAAAGAGCAGCCAUUCAGACAAAAGCUUCAAGUUUAUUUAAGGCAGUGAAAGAAACUAGAAAUGAAGUGGAUAAUGAAGAACCUUUUACUGCAAGCAAUCCCCCCAUCUCUGGCUGCCAUUGCCUCUUUGAUGUUUUUUUCUUCCUAAUGUUGAGCAUCCAAAGAUAAAUGGGACAGAUGCAUCCUGAGGACUUUGCAAAUUUGAAAGUUCUACAGGUCUGGGAGUUAGCUGUAGCAUUGACCUCCCCACCCCCACCUCCAUAGGGAAAGCUUCUGCACUGGGGAAGGCCACUACCCACAAGCCCAAGCUGAGGUGAAUGUAAAUAUCUAGAUCCAUGAUUAAUGCAAAUGCUAAAAUAGUACCAGGUCUCAUUUAAUGAAAACCAAAAUUCAAUUACUAUGACAAGUGUGAGCUAGUUUGCACUUUCCUAUCAUUGCGUAUAGAUGUUAUGUGCUACUGUGUACCAUAUUACCAACAGUUGUGUUAAUUUUUUAAAAUACCUUGAGAAAAAGGACAAAAGGAAGAAUGUUUCAGAUGGAAACAACACCAGCCCAAAAAGGAAAAGGCUCGCUAUUACAUUAGAACAAAAUUUUGAUGUAAUUGAACAUGAACAUGGUCAUAGUAACUUUAAAAUAGGGCAAGAUAUCUGGAUGCCUGAAUCUAUGGUGGGGAACAUUGUAAAACACAACAGGCAGCAAAAAAAAAAAAAGAAAAGAAAAGAAAAAGGAAAAAAGAAAAGAAAAAGGCAAAGCUGCAUCAGCUUUUUGUGGUUUGCAAACAGCUACAAGGAACAGAACUUUUACAUCAAUAGAAAUGGAGUAUCUUUUAGCUGUAGAGAUUGAAGACCACAAGCAAAAAGCAUCCAUUCAAAUAAAAGCUUCAAGUUUAUUUAAGGCAGCGAAAGGAACUGGAAAUGAAAUGUAUAGUGAGAAACCUCUUGCUGCAAGCACUGGUUGGUUUGACUGCUUUAAAAUGAGUUCAGUUGCAUGCAUUAAAAUUACUGGAGAAGUGGCCAGUACAGAUUAAGAUGUGCAAGCUAAAUAUUUUGAUCAAUGGCGAUAUACCAAUUAACAAAUUUUUAAUGUGGAUAAAACACUUAUUUUGUGAAAAUUUGCCUUCUAGAACUUAGAUUUCUAACAAAGAAAAACCUGGAUUUGAAAUACCAAUGGAUCACCCAAUAUUUUUAUUGGGAUAUGUUGCAGAAGGAGAAUUUAAAUUAUAACCAAUGCUUAAUUAUGAGUCUCAAAAUCUUCAUGCUUUGAGAAACUACAGCCAGUGAAUGCUUCCAGUUCUCUGGCUGUCAAAUAAGAAAGCCUGAGUGACCAAAGCUGCUUUCAAAGACUAGUUUGCAGGUUAUUUUAGCCCAUCUGUUGAAAGAUACUAUAGGUUCAGGAAUUUCAUAUUUAAAGCAUUACUGAUUUUAGAUACUGUUCACAGUUGUCCAAUUAUACCUAGUUUGUUGUAUGUGUGAGAAGGUGAGCAUACAAAUUUGCCAAAAUGUGGAUAAAGAUCACUGCAUCUUCCUAUGUAUAGGUGAAGAUUUAAAGAUAGAGGACAGUUUGAUCUACACUGCUCAAAUAUUUUAAACAACAGUAAAUCUUUUAAUAAUGUUUUCAUCAUAUUGUCAAUAUAGGCUUAUAUUUAGGUAUGAUAUUCGGUAAUAUUUUUAUUUUUUCAUGUUUUAAAUGUUGCUUUCCAUAACUAUUACUUGGUAAUAAGCUGGAAUUAUAAAUGUUUUUCUUAUCCUUUGCUUUUACAUUAAUUAACAAAUAGAUCAAAAAGUAAUUUAGAAAAUAUUUUCAUUGCAUGUUUCCAUGGGUCUGGAACCAAUUAAUAUAUUUUACAUAUAAUUAUAUAUGGUAUAGAUUUAGUUAAUGAGACCAUGGGAUUCAUUAUUGACAAUAACUGGGUUAAAUUAUUGAGAAGUUUGCAAGACUACUUUAUGUUGUGAUAAGACUUAAAUGUUAAAUCUCACAUCCCAUUGUAACCAUAGUUAUAAACUGUAACUGAAUCCUAUAAAUUCUGUUAAGGCACACAGGUUCUUUAUGUUUAACAUUCCUCUUUGUGUGUAGAAAUAAAAUGCCUGUUCCAUAUUUGAUUCAUAUUAUACAGAGCACCCCUUUCAUUUUUCCUCUUUUGUGGAAAGUCCAAGGCUUGUGAGCCAUAAGUGAAAAUGAGUACAAGAAGGAAGAGCCAAAUUCCCUAAUUAGAAAAAGACUUCCCUAGAAAUGAAGCUAGUCCAUAAAUGGCAAUGGCCAAUAUUGAAAAGAGGGCAAAUUGCCUUAGCCUCUUGCCUCAGCCAACCAGUUAUCUCAAGGUUAUGCAAAGAAAUACUUUUUUAAAUAAGAGGAUUAUAUAUGUAAAAUGAAUGUGGUAGUUACAUAAUAUAUAUCUGGCCCAAAUGUGGUAUAUAAAGAUACGGGAUAUAGGAUAUGAUAGCCCACUGCAUCUCCAAAAAUGGCUGCAACUUUUUUUUUUACCAAUUACAUGUAAUAAUAAAUUUCCACAUAAGUUUUUUAAAA